rnacentral:rRNA from 1 species
AGGCGGACGUAUAAGUUAGAUGUGAAAUACCUGAGCUUAACUUAGGAGGUGCAUUUAAGACUGUAUAUCUAGAGUAUGUCAGAGGGGGGUAGAAUUCCAAGUGUAGCAGUGAAAUGCGUAGAGAUUUGGAGGAAUACCGAUGGCGAAGGCAGCCCCCUGGGAUAAUACUGACGCUGAUGCACGAAGCGUGGGUAGCAAACA